rnacentral:rRNA from 1 species
CAUGUCUUUAAGAUUAUAAUUUAAAGUCUGACCUGCCCUAUGAAUUAUUUUUAAAUGGCUGCGGUAUCUUGACCGUGCAAAGGUAGCAUAAUAAUUAGUUUUUUAAUUGAGAACUGGUAUGAAAGGUUUGACGAGAAAAAGACUGUCUCAAUUUAAAUUUAAUUAGAAUUUUAUAUUUAAGUAAAAAAGCUUAAAUAUUCUUAAAAGACGAGAAGACCCUAUAGAGUUUUAUAUAAAUUAUUAUAGUUAAAAGUUUAAGUAUUAUAAAUUUAAUUAUUAUAGUUUAUAUUUGGUUGGGGCAAUUAAGAAAUUUAAUAAAUUUUUUUUAUUUAUUUACAUUGAUAUAUGAAUAAGUGAUCCAUAUAAUUAUGAUUAUAAGAUUAAAUUACCUUAGGGAUAACAGCGUAAUUUUUUUUAGAGUUCUUAUUGAAAAAAAAGUUUGCGACC